AGAUCCUCCAUUUGUCUCCGCUUUUGAACACUCCAGCAGUUCUCCAUUUCUUCCAGUGUGAGAAGUUAACGAGUUGGCAUUUCCAUGAGACAUCGAGAUGGUGGGGGGAAAUCCUUUGAAUCAACAUGCUAUGAAGGUUUGAUUGUGACAUUUUGAAACCUUCAAGACGUCCUCAAUCCCUAGCUACCUGGACAAGGGUCUUGAGUUGAGCGGCAGCCUCCUGUAGAUGUGGCUCCUUAGGGUUGGUGGAAAACAAGGCCCGAUCUCCAGCGUACAGGCCACGGAUGGCACAGCGGAUGGGGGAGGGCUGGGCUCUGAGCUUUAGGUUACAAAGGGCCACCAGAAGCUUGACCAGCUCCUCCAAGCCCUGCUGGACCAGACUGCUGCACUAGCGCAACCUUGACAAAAUCCAGCCGGCCAUCCUCUAGAUACACCACUGGAGAGUGACCUUCAGGCACAGCAUGUCAACGGAGUUAGUCAUAUCGACAGCCUUGCCACAUAGCUGGACUUCAUACCUGAAGUGUGCAUCUGUCCUGUCUUGAUAUGCCAUAUGUUGUUGGUUAUAUAUGGUUAUGCAUUUGUCCCAGACCUGUGUUCAAAUCAUAUCUAUUUAAAUAACCUGAAUACAUUUCGAAAAAAUGAAAAAUGGAUCGGUGUGGCUAGAAGACCGGUGACUUUGACUGCCGAACACCACCCGAACAAGGAGAGUACCCCGCCCCCCCGGCCUCAGGGACGCCAGGCGAUCCGGACGGAGACGGUGGAACUCCUGCAGCCUUGAAGGGUCCAACACGUCCCCCACCGGAACCCAGCAUCUCUCCUCUGGACCAUACCCCUCCCAGCCCACUCCCUUGGCUGAGAAGCAACC